rnacentral:lncRNA from 1 species
AUUAACUCAAAUACUUAAAAUUAUUUAAUUCAAAAUUUAAAUUUUUUAUCAAAAUUUUUGAACCAAAACGAAUUUUACUCACCCUUACAGUUUAAUGGACGUAUCAAUGAAAAGUUAUAGUACAUAUCAUAAUAAGCACAUUGACUGAUUUAAGGUAGUUUCAGCUUAUCAUUCACCGGAUAUAAAUAAAAUCUGCGAAAUAUUCGUAUGGGCCCCUCGAUGCCUUUUCCUUUUUCGUACUGCUAAGCGCUUUAUCGGAGAACCCGCCGGCAACCCAAACCGGAGCUCCUAAACAACACCCGGGAUCCGGAACCUGACAACAAAAGAGACGUAAGAGGACCCCGCCGUUGGAUUUCCUUCGGCGGCCUCACCGAACUUAAAGCAGCGCGUCAAAUCCCAGGACGAAAUCGGCGACAAGAUCAUAGAGGCUGUGCUUUGUGCAAAAGGGAAGGAAGACAUUGCAGUGACCACAAACGGUCGCAGGACUUGGCAAAGAUCUGUCUUCGGAUCCUCUCCGGAGCUGCUUCGGGAACCCCAAGCACUUUUAAGAGAUCAAGAUCAAGGGGAACAAAAGAGGUUGCUCGGAUGUGGGAUUUUUUCCGGCAUCGUUUCAAGCCAAAAGUGACUCGCUCACCACCAGCACCGAAACAAAGACCAAAGGAAGCUGGUAAACCAAAACCAAAAACAAAAGUGAGAGAGGGAGAGAGAGAGAUGCAAGGCUCUUGAAAGAUUCAACAACAGAGAACAGAGAAACCUCCGCCGGAAGGAGGAGACUGGUAGCGGUGAGCAGCGGCCGGCCCGCCGACGACUGGUGAGAGCUUGAUUUUCUAGGUUUUCUUUUCAGAAGCUAGAGAGGGAGGGGAAAAGAAAAUGGGUAACUCAGGGUUACUAUAGUCAAUAGAGAAAACGCGUUUUCAUCUGAGAUAUUUAGAUGAGGCAUCCACGUAAGUUGGUUUUGCCACCUAUGAAGCUUUAGAUCUAUUUAUGGGUCCAUGAUUAAGCCCGGUCUGGUAUUAGACAUAAUACGGGCUAGGCCCAAUCAGGCCUAAAUGAACUCAACAUAUAGCACCACAAACUAAAGGUCAUCGCAAGGAA